rnacentral:rRNA from 1 species
UACGGAGGGUGCUAGCGUUGUUCGGAAUUACUGGGCGUAAAGGGCGCGUAGGCGGCCGUUUGCGUCGGAUGUGAAAGCCCGGGGCUCAACCUCGGAACGGCAUUCGAUACGGGACGGCUGGAGACCGGGAGAGGAGAGUGGAAUAGCCAGUGUAGAGGUGAAAUUCGUAGAUAUUGGCUGGAACACCGGUGGCGAAAGCGGCUCUCUGGGCCGAUACUGACGCUGAGGAGCGAAAGCGUGGGGAGCGAACAGG